GUGUCAGCAGCCGCGGUAAUACAGGGGGUGCAAACGUUGCUCGGAAUUACUGGGCGUAAAGGGCUCGUAGGCUGCCAACUAAGUCAGACGUGAAAUCCCCCGGCUUAACCGGGGAACUGCGUCUGAUACUGGAUGGCUUGAGUUUGGGAGAGGGAUGCGGAAUUCCAGGUGUAGCGGUGAAAUGCGUAGAUAUCUGGAGGAACACCUGAGAUGAAGACGGGUUGCUGGGCUGACACUGACGCUGAUGCGCGAAAGCCAGGGGAGCAAACGGGAUUAGAAACCCCCGUAGUCC
rnacentral:rRNA from 1 species